GUAAAGCUAUGCAAUCUUAGCAUCUGGGGAUAAAGCUGCCCUAAUCAAUAUAUCAGCAUUCAGUAAGUGAAAUUACUACAUGGAAUGUAAAAGGUAUCAGAUGCUGUGACAAACCUACAUAUAAUGAUCGCCCAACUCUGCCGUUUCCUUUGGUUUUAUAGUGUUUAAUACAUUUCAACUCAGUUGGGUUUUUUUUUGGUUUUAUGGUCCACUGCUUUGCCAUUUUGGUCAAAUCUCACCACUCCUCUGCACUCUCUCCAGUUUCCGCAGUUUGAUUCUGUAAAAAACUCUAAUAAUCUCAUUGUAUACUACCUGUACAGCGCCAAUCAGCAGACAGACACGGUUAGCACAGACAGUUAGCCCAUAUUUUUCUGUUUAUGGAGACCAAAACAGUGCUAACAUUAGAUUUAUCUUCAUCGGGUUUCCAGAAACACGACUGCUAAUGUUGCUCUCUGUCUACCAGAUGUGUGACUUGCAUCUGUGGCGAGAAAAAAAAAAAAAGACAAAAAAUUGCUGCCGCUUUAAAAACCCUCAUAACCAAGCACCAAUCUGUCAAAGGAGAUGUGAGCCCACUUUUAACCUUUAGAAUCUGUAUAUUCCAUAUGAGAAUUUCUAUCAUUAUCGUGAAAAAUAUGCCCUGAUGCAAGUGUCUGUCACUCAACGAUGACGGCACAGUGGAUUUUUCUUGCCGAGGUACAAAGAGCUGCACCUCAGGCUGUUUUACAAUAGCUGGGGUAAAAAAAAAAAAAAACUGAAAGGAUGGAAAUCGAAUGUCCUCAGCCACCUGCCAGUGGAAUCUGGCAGAGAGAGAUAAGAGCUGCUGGACUGUAAUCUACCUCCCCAGCCCCGACUGUCAUACAAACCAAUGCACUUUGGGCCUAAUAAAGUGCUGAUUGUCCGAGUGAGCAUUUGUUCCAAGCAACGGUGAAAACAUGGACAUGGAUAUAUCGAGGUGACGUCUAUUGUGGCAGCUGUGACAAGAGUCAAAACAAAUUUGACAUUUAAUCUUGGCAAAGAAUGACAGUUUUGUGUUCGCUCGCACUACAUUUUUCCUGUUCUUGGGGGGGUUUGCUUCAUGUACAUGCAUGGACAUUUAUAAAGGCUGAAUAUUAGCCUGAGUGUACCAAAGACUUCACUCUCAGUUUAUUUUGCUCCUGUUUUUUUUUUUUUUUUUUUUUUUUUACAUUGCUCAGCUGGUUAUCGAAUGUCAGCCCCAAUUUCCUUAUGUCAAUAUAAUCAAAUGUUUUAGGAUUUAUGCAUGCACUUUGGAUUGGAUUGCACUCUCACUAAUUUAUGCAGUGCUUAAUUCCAACAACUAAAUCUGGUGUUUAGUUGCUUGGAAAAAGACAGAAAGACAGAUUUUCUUGUAUCUUGGCACAGGAUUCAACUACUAAUGUACUCACCCGUGUAAAGAAAACUAAAUUAACACGAAACUCUUAGAUGAAAUCAUCCUGGACUCUGACCUUGUUCCUCACUGUGGUUUAUAUUACACCUCUACAAGGAACUAUUCUGAGAGCUCUUUUCACAACAAACAUUACAAAUGAAUUAAUGCCACAUUUGUAUCUUGAGGGAUGAAAUCACAUCAAAUAUGCAAGUUGUCCUUAAGAUGGCAUCAUUGAACAUUUUUG
ensembl:lncRNA